AUUGAACGCUAGCGGGAUGCCUUACACAUGCAAGUCGAACGGAGUGGCGAACGGGUGCGUAAUGUAUCGGAACGUGCCCAGUAGCGGGGGAUAACUACGCGAAAGCGUAGCUAAUACCGCAUACUAUUGGCACCACCGAUAUCGGAUUAGCUAGUUGGGGGGGUAACGGCUACCCAAGGCCACGAUCCCUAGCUGGUGUGAGAGGACGACCAGCCACACUGUGACUGAGACACGGACCAGACUCCUACGGGAGGCAGCAGUGGGGAAUAUUGGACAAUGGGGGAAACCCUGAUCCAGCCAUCCCGCGUGUGCGAUGAAGGCCUUCGGGUUGUAAAGCACUUUUGGCAGGAAAGCGGUACCUGCAGAAUAAGCACCGGCUAACUACGUGCCAGCCGCCGCGGUAAUUC
rnacentral:rRNA from 1 species